rnacentral:tRNA from 1 species
GUGGGUAUAGCUCAGUGGUAGAGCACAUGCUUAGCAUGCACGAGGUCCUGGGUUCAAUUCCCAGUACUUCCA